AGCCGUUCUCGGCCUCUUACGGCUCAGAUCAAGUGUAGUACCUGUUCUUAUCAGUGUAACGGUUGAUACUAUCUCCACGUGAGAAUGCUGUUCAAUUUAUUUAUUGCGUGAGUUUUCGUCAAAGCGCCUGACGAAGUGGGAUUUUCUUCCACAAAAGCUCAUGUGAUAAAUUUGUUAGUCUUUAAAAGUGCCACAGGACUCGU
rnacentral:snRNA from 1 species